rnacentral:rRNA from 1 species
UACGUAGGGGGCGAGCGUUGUCCGGAUUUACUGGGCGUAAAGAGCGCGCAGGCGGUCGUGCAAGUCGCGUGUGAAAGCCCCCGGCUCAACUGGGGAGGGUCACGCGAUACUGCUCGACUCGAAGGCAGGAGAGGGAAGUGGAAUUCCCGGUGUAGUGGUGAAAUGCGUAGAUAUCGGGAGGAACACCAGUGGCGAAGGCGACUUCCUGGCCUGUUCUUGACGCUGAGGCGCGAAAGCUAGGGUAGCAAACGGGG